GGGAGACACCUUUCUUCCACUUCUUAUUGGAAGCCCUGGUGGUCAUGUUGAUCCUCUGCUAUGUUUUUCUCCCAAAGCCAAAUAAUCCUCUUUACAAACUUGGGGUUUCAUGGACAUCCUCAUCACCCUUAGGUGAUUGCAUACUCGGAACAUCGUUACCGUAUCUUUGGGGAAACCAUCGAUAUUGCAGUGGGUAAUUGUCUGGAUCGUUUCGCUCGAGUGCUGAAGGUAAGCCAGUGGGGCUGCAGAGAACAUAAAAUGUGGGUGAAUUUUUGGGAAGCCAUGGAGGUGGAGGGAGGAAAUAGUAAAUAAGCUUCUUAUGCUUCCUGCAUAUCUGAUUUCAUCCUCUUCCGUUCCCUCCUUCCUUAUUUUUUUGUUCUGCUAGAUUUCUAAUGACCCAAGUCCAGGAUACAACAUUGAACAGAUGGCAAAGCGAGGCAAGAAGCUAGUUGAGCUGCCAUACACUGUAAAGGGGAUGGACGUCUCAUUCUCAGGGAUCCUGUCUUUCAUUGAGGAUGUAGCCCAUCGGAUGCUGGCCACAGGCGAGUGUACUCCUGAGGAUCUGUGUUUCUCCCUGCAGGAAACUGUGUUUGCGAUGCUGGUAGAGGUCACAGAGCGAGCCAUGGCACAUUGUGGCUCCCAGGAGGCCCUCAUUGUGGGAGGAGUGGGGUGUAAUGUGAGGCUACAGGAGAUGAUGGCAACAAUGUGCCAGGAACGUGGAGCCCGGCUUUUUGCUACAGAUGAGAGAUUCUGUAUUGACAAUGGAGCCAUGAUAGCCCAGGCUGGCUGGGAGAUGUUUCGGGCCGGACACAGGACCCCACUCAGUGAUUCUGGGGUUACACAGAGGUAUCGGACAGAUGAAGUAGAGGUGACCUGGAGGGACUAAUAAGAUUAACAGAAUCAGAGUAGCUAGUUCCUUAACUGGAACCCAAAGGACCCUGUGCCUCAAUCUCUAUCCUGAUGUCAUGGGAGUCCUAGCAAAGCUAU
rnacentral:sRNA from 1 species